rnacentral:rRNA from 1 species
UACGGAGGGUGCAAGCGUUAAUCGGAAUUACUGGGCGUAAAGCGUGCGUAGGCGGUUUGUUAAGUCUGUUGUGAAAUCCCCGGGCUCAACCUGGGAAUGGCAAUGGAUACUGGCAGGCUAGAGUGUGUCAGAGGAUGGUGGAAUUCCCGGUGUAGCGGUGAAAUGCGUAGAGAUCGGGAGGAACAACAGUGGCGAAGGCGGCCAUCUGGGACAAAACUGACGCUGAGGCACGAAAGCGUGGGGAGCAAACAGG